rnacentral:rRNA from 1 species
AACGAACGCUGGCGGCAUGCCUAACACAUGCAAGUCGAACGAGACCUUCGGGUCUAGUGGCGCACGGGUGCGUAACGCGUGGGAACCUGCCCUUAGGUUCGGAAUAACUCCCCGAAAGGGGUGCUAAUACCGGAUAAUGUCUUCGGACCAAAGAUUUAUCGCCUUUGGAUGGGCCCGCGUUGGAUUAGCUAGUUGGUAGGGUAAAAGCCUACCAAGGCGACGAUCCAUAGCUGGUCUGAGAGGAUGAUCAGCCACACUGGGACUGAGACACGGCCCAGACUCCUACGGGAGGAAGCAGUGGGGAAUAUUGGACAAUGGGCGAAAGCCUGAUCCAGCAAUGCCGCGUGAGUGAUGAAGGCCUUAGGGUUGUAAAGCUCUUUUACACGGGAUGAUAAUGACAGUACCGGGAGAAUAAGCACCGGCUAACUCCGUG